UUUACCUUGUCAAAGUUCCUUUGCUUUUUGUCAAGGUUGGCAGCUAAUGCAUUGGCUCUCUCAACAUCAAUCAUGAGGUCCUCCACUUCACCCUGCAGCCUCUGUUUGGUCUUCUCCAGAGAGGCACAUUUGGAGUUCACAGCUUCAAUAGAUUCCUCAGCAUCUUGUAGACGCU